rnacentral:lncRNA from 1 species
GUCGACGAAUUUGAUAUUCUUUUACAAAAUAUACUUAUCUUAAUAUGUAUAACCGGAGUUUAUAUUACAUGCCCCUCUCCCAACGAUAGUUGUAGUACUCUUAUAAUAGUAGUACUCAUGAAUACAGUUAAUCCGGGUUGUUGGGAGAGAUCACAUGCAUAAAUACAACAUGAAACAAACGUGUGAAAAAGGUACAUAAAAUCGGUGUGACCCGUUCUUGUAUUAUAAGAAAUCAACUUGCUUAGGCCUUGCCGGACUCCUCACAACCCGGUGGCUUGAAGGCGAUGAAGCUGAUGCACUGCACUUGCCUGGUGUUGUCGAAGCCGAUGAUGCGGACAUAGGCGUCAGGGUACUCCUUCUUCACCUCCUCCAGCUCCUUUAGCACCUGCGUGGCGUCGGUGCACCCGAACAUGGGAAGCUUCCACAUUGUCCAGUACCUGCCGUCGUAGUACCCGGGAGAGUUGCCGUGCUCACGGAAGACGAAACCGACCUUGCUGAACUCGAGGCAAGGAACCCACUUGGAGCGGAUGAGAUACUCGAUCUGCUUCAAGAGGGACUCCACGGUGAGAGGCGGCAGGUAGGAAAGGGUUUCGAACUUCUUGAUGCCCUCAAUUGGCCACACCUACAAUUAGAUUAAUAAUUAGCACCGAAAGUAUAAUUUGAGACACAUAUCAGUAUUUCACUUCAACAUAUGUACAUGAUGACAUACAUACCUGCAUGCACCUGAUCCUUCCACCGUUGGAGACGCUGCCGAGACCAGCGCUGGCUGAGCGGCGGCCGAUGGGGAGCCCGGCGGUGGACUUGAGGCCCUGGAAAGGAGCAACGGCAGUAGCCGCUGACGACAUCACUGUGGGAGCCAUCGUACACGUACGUAGAUAGCUAACAAGAGGAG